rnacentral:rRNA from 1 species
UACGUAGGGGCCUAGCGUUGUCCGGAAUUAUUGGGCGUAAAGGGCUCGUGGGCGGUUUGUCGCGUCGGGAGUGAAAACACUGGGCUUAACUCAGUGCUUGCUUCCGAUACGGGCAAACUAGAGUACUGCAGGGGAGACUGGAAUUCCUGGUGUAGCGGUGAAAUGCGCAGAUAUCAGGAGGAACACCGGUGGCGAAGGCGGGUCUCUGGGCAGUAACUGACGCUGAGGAGCGAAAGCGUGGGGAGCGAACAGG